CUCGGCAGGUCGCGCCUACCUUGUAGCACCCUACCCUGUAGGGCCUACCCGGGAGACGCGGAUGACCUGCCGGUGGCCCACGAAACUCUGUCUAGUAUUAAAUUCUGAAUCUAUAACUAAAUAAGUUAAAACUUUCAACAACGGAUCUCUUGGUUCUGGCAUCGAUGAAGAACGCAGCGAAAUGCGAUAAGUAAUGUGAAUUGCAGAAUUCAGUGAAUCAUCGAAUCUUUGAACGCACAUUGCGCCCAUUAGUAUUCUAGUGGGCAUGCCUGUUCGAGCGUCAUUUCAACCCUUAAGCCCCUGUUGCUUAGCGUUGGGAGCCUACAGCACUCGCUGUAGCUCCUUAAAAUUAGUGGCGGAGUCGGUUCACACUCUAGACGUAGUACUUUUUACCUCGCCUGUAGUGAGACCGGUCCCCUGCCAUAAAACCCCCCCGGCGAGUGAAGCGGCAACAGCUCAAAUUUGAAAUCUGGCCUUCGGGUCCGAGUUGUAAUUUGUAGAGGAUGCUUUUGGCGCGGUGCCUUCCGAGUUCCCUGGAACGGGACGCCUGAGAGGGUGAGAGCCCCGUACGGUUGGACACCAAGCCUCUGUAAAGUUCCUUCGACGAGUCGAGUAGUUUGGGAAUGCUGCUCUAAAUGGGAGGUAAAUUUCUUCUAAAGCUAAAUAUUGGCCAGAGACCGAUAGCGCACAAGUAGAGUGAUCGAAAGAUGAAAAGCACUUUGAAAAGAGGGUUAAAUAGCACGUGAAAUUGUUGAAAGGGAAGCGUUUGCGACCAGACCUUUUCCUGGCGGAUCAUCCGGUGUUCUCACCGGUGCACUUCGCCAGGUCGAGGCCAGCAUCGGUUUUCGUAGGGGGAUAAAAGCUUAGGGAACGUAGCUCCUUCGGGAGUGUUAUAGCUCUUCGCAUAAUACCUUUACGGGGACCGAGGACCGCGCUUUUUGCAAGGAUGCUGGCGUAAUGGUUGUCAACGACCCGUCUUGAAACACGGACCAAGGAGUCGAACAUUUGUGCGAGUGUUUGGGUGUUAAACCCUCACGCGUAAUGAAAGUGAACGGAGGUGAGAGCCCUUACGGGUGCAUCAUCGACCGAUCCUGAUGUCUUCGGAUGGAUUUGAGUAAGAGCAUA
rnacentral:sRNA from 1 species